GAGGCCAAAAUUCUCUCUACCGAUUCCUAUUUUGAGUGUUAAUUUUCUCUUAUUCCAAGACUUAACAGCAAGAAGGAAGCUUCAGCUAUCGAUUUGAGGAAUUCCAGAUUCUUCUUUUUCUGAUUUAAGUGACCAUUUGUGGAGUAGGGAGCAAGGAAUCAAUCAGUCCUCUUCCAGAAGUCUUUGUUGAGUCUUAAGUUCCUAUUUUUUCAUGCUUCUUGUACAAGGAAAGCUUAGUUACCUUUUCUGUCUUGGUUUCUAAUUUUUUUCUAAAGUUUCUAUAUUCGUAACUUUCCGAUUUUGAGACAAGACCAAGCCUAUUAAAGGCCAUUGAUUGUAAGCUAUUGACACAAUUAAAUCAAUGAAAGUUUAUGCUGUUUGCUUGUAGUUACUAAUUAUAAGUUUCUAUUUUGCAGCAACUUACUGUUUUGGUAAUCCUUUGAUUUCUUCACAUCUGAUUCCUACUUGCUAAUUUUUUUUACUAAAUCUGGUCUCUCUUUUCUUGACUUACUAUUUUUCAGACUACUCCGUCUCUUCCAAUCUAACUAUUAGAUUAACAUAAGAUCUCACAGACUAUUCUACCUGACAAAUAGACCAUUCAACCAUAAUUUUAUGCAUAUCUGAGCUGUUCCUACUCCUGCGAUUCUGUCGCAAGUUGAUCUCUCGGACUUCAUUGGUUUGAGGGGGUGUCUGUGAGGGUUCAAAGGCCUACGGACUAUAAUCCUUCACUGGCAGCUGCUCUUGGACCUAGAGAUCCAAGCCCUCAUCUCAACCUAGCUGUUGUUGGUCUAACACCAGGUGCAAUCAGUGGAGCAGAGGACCUGAUAAUAUAUUCGUUGGCAGAUUACCAUACUAUUUUACGGAAGUUCAGAUAAGAGAACUGCUUGAGUCAUUUGGGCCUCUACGUGGAUUCAACCUUGUUAAGGAUAGAGACACUGGGAACUCAAAAGAUUAUGGUUUCUGCGUGUAUCAGUAGUGGGCAGGCAAAACCAGUUCAGGAAAUUAUAUUAGCAUAAGCGCAGCAGCAGCUUGCUAUUCUUAAAAUGGCCUUACAGGCUGGAGGUGCAAAUCUACCUGAAGUUGUGAUGGCACCAAGAGCUCUUGUGGAGACUCCAACAAAAGUAGUUUGCUUGACUAAGGUUGUAUCAACUGAUGAGCUGAGGGAUGAUGAAGAGUAUGAAGAAAUAUUGGAGGACAUGAGGGAAGAAGGCGGGAAGUUUGGUAUGUACUUUUUCAAUGGAUUGUUUCAAUUUUAUUCUAG